GCAGGAGCCAGAGAUCUGAGCUCUCCCCCGGGGCCUGUUGCUUGGUGAGAUUCCUGCCUGGUUACAGGCCCUGGUCCCCUAAGAGCUUGAGUAGGAAACUGCAGAGGCGGAUUCAGAAUUGGCUGGAGACACCAGGAGAGGAUCAUGGGACAGCAGCAGCUACAAAGGCAGCCACUGGGUGACUGCAGGAACAAGGAAUGACCAUGGCAAGAGCAACCGGGGGUCAGCUGAAGAGCUCUGGAGAGUGGCUGGAGCAGAACUGGUGGCCAGUUAAGAGUAACAGAGCCCAUGAAGGAUGUAAAGACAUGAAGACGAGAAACUGCAAGGCCUGAUGACUGGGCGCAUUCAAGGGAGCUGCCCAGGUCUUACUCACUGUAGUCCAAUUGUCAUGACUGAGGGGCCUCACACUCUGGGCCUAUAACAGUCAUCACUACAUGUCUCCAUCGGCAUCCAGGUGUGGAAUUCCCAGCUGCACAAACAUUAUCACAGUGUGCUCCGCUCCUGGAGGCUCACUCUGGCCCAUGCUGGAGCAGGUGUCAGGAUCCAUCAAACAGGGACACCUACCCAGUGGCCGGAGCUGACCACCACCAAGAGCAUCUCAUGGCGUCCCGGCUCCUCUGAAUCUCAUCAUCUAGUAUGGAGGUCAAGUGCUUACAGCAGGAGUUACUGAUAAAUCAGUGAAUGUCAGGCUGGCCUCAAGUGGGCUCCCAAACACAGCAUUGUCUCUAAGUCCCCUGGGCAUUGGAUGUUGAGAACAGAGGAGGGGAGACAAGAAAACUAAGGCUCCAAGAGUCUCAAUGGGACAGACCUGGCAGCAUCUUCUCUCCCAGCUGAGCAAUCUGCUCGUGCUUCCUAACGAGGUCUUGAGCCAGGUAUGGGGUCAGGCUGGUGAGUGAUGGCUACUUGUCUGCACCUUCCACAGUUGCUCUUUCACCACGAGGCUGAGGCCUCUGUGGACAGUUCCAGCCCCAGGGCCAGCACCUAUGGUGUACCUACAGCUGUGUG